CCACCUGUGGUCCAGAAGCAGAUGAUUCUCUGACAAAUCAUCAGAAAGUCAAUAGUAGCCUAAUACUGUGUCACAAUGCUAUUCACUCCAUUUCAUCUCACCCCACAGACAUUUUAUCAUCUCACAUCAUCACAAGGAGAGAGAGAUACAGUGAGAGGAAACAGCAGGAGGAGUGGAAGAAGGAAAAGCAGGCUCCCCAAUGAGCAGGGAGCCCAAUGCAGAGCUUGAUCCCAGGAUGCUGGAAUAUAACCUGAGUCCAAGGCCGACGUUUAACAACAAACACCCAGGCACCCCUCU
rnacentral:lncRNA from 1 species